rnacentral:SRP_RNA from 1 species
GCCGGGCAUGGUGGCUCUUGCCUGUAGUCCCAGCACUUUGGGAGGCUGAGGCGGGCAGAUCACGAGGUAAGAUCGAGACCAUCCUGGCUAACACGGUGAAACCCCAUCUUUACUAAAAAUACNNNNNNNNNNAUUUUUAGUAAAGAUGGGGUUUCACCGUGUUAGCCAGGAUGGUCUCGAUCUUACCUCGUGAUCUGCCCGCCUCAG